CCCACCUGCUUUUUCUGUAGGAGAAUCUUCCCUCAAACAGCAUUUUUCAAUACUUUAGGCAUACAAGUCUGAAGCACAUAACUUGCUAAUAGUUUUUUUAAAAAAGUUUCUUAAUUUAAGCAGCGUUUUUAUUGCAAAAAGCUAAAGUAGAUUUGCUGACUUUAUGCUAAACUCACUUUUCCCCCCAGUUUAAAGUGACCUUUGAUGUAAACUAAAAUGUGCAGGUGUCAAAGUAUAUCAGUAUCGUAUACUAGAGAUGAGCACAACUGAGGUUUUUUGGCACUUUCUCCUUCCAAUUUAUUAAAGGUUGUGUCAGAAUAAAUUUAUGUAAGCAAGGAUCAAGUUUUAUUAGUGGAACUUCAUUUGCUUUUAAUGAAUAGGGGUAUUUUAGGAAAACAGUUGAUUAAAUGAACUAACAUUUGAGAGAUGCACUAUUUCUUCUCACUCCUAUCACCACUCCUUUUAACCCUGCAAGUAAGCAUGCAUAUGCUACCAGAAGGCAAAAUAAGUUGCAUUAAGGCCAUAGUCUCUAUUCAGCAAAGUAGCUGACACUGUUAUCACAUCCACUUCUUUUCAACACCGCACACGGUGUUAAGGCUCUGCCAGUUUAAGAGAACUUUAAGUCCUUAAAGUUACGCAAAUAAACUCCCCAGCCUCACCCUAAACAGAGACUGAUUCAGUGGACUAAGGCUAUUGCCAUUUAUGAUGUCAUAAGAGCUGGCUAGCAAACAAGAACGCUCCAUACUACAUGAGGACCGAACAAAGAUGGCCUCUGGUCCCAAAGUCUAACAAACUCUUGGAAUAUCCUGGGGAUCAUCCAUUAGGAAUGUAACUCAUCCUCCCCAGUAAAAAGAGAUAUAAACUGUCAGGAGCUUUCACAAAGGGCAACGAUGUUGUCAAGCUCUUCUCCAACAAAAGCUCUUUGUCCUCUCUUAAGUAGGCUUCAUGUUAACAGUGUUCACUACCAGGAGCAGCAAUGUGUAUCUCUCUAAAAGAAGGCAGCUUCCCCCUUCCUCCUCCACCCCUCCUCUGGGCUCCUCUAGAAGAGACAGAUGCUUUCUGUGUCCUGGAACGCAUAAAGGCGUCUCACAGACCCCCAAAAAGCAUGUCCUUGGAGGUACCAGCAGUUAUCACGAGAACCGCCCUCAUUGGAGGCACAGAGCUGUUACCCAGCAAGUUGGCUUUAAUUUUCCAGACAGCACCAUAGAUGAGCAAAGCAAUUUGACAAGAAUAAAUCCAGCUUUUGCAUUUAAUGGUGGGAUUAGUACUGGGGCAGCUGAUGCAAGUGCAAACUCUUUGUAACUUUGUUCCACACUGAGAUGUUUGAGGACUGCUUUGUGUGCUUUGCCCUGGACUACACACCCUUAGUGCCUCUAUGGGCUACCUAAAUGAGCCUGGAGUAAACUGCAUCAUGUGCCUGGUCUCACUGGAGUGUUCUUGAUCCACAUUAGUUUUCCACCUGAUUCACCUGAAAGUGAUUUGGUAAUAUACAGAUUGUCCUCUUUUUAAAGAUCCCACCAAAAAUUCACUCACUGAAGACUGGAGACAGAAGUCCGUGUUGCAUCACAGAUCUGUUAGUUGAUCAGGGAGAAAUAGUAAUGGACCAUUAGGUUUCCAGAUCCUAAUCAUUAUAGGCUGCAGAACUAAUUACCUUCUCGUUCUGGAUCUGAGGUUUUGAGAAAAUGCUGCUAAACAAGAUUUUUCUUAUACUUUCCAUUGGAAAGUUUGAACAAAAAGGUUCGUAAGGCAGCCAAGACACAGAUCACUGUGCCACACCAGGAGCACAUUACAGGCUUGCACAACCUUAACCUGAGAACAUAUCACACUACCCCAAAGCCAGACAACAUAAUAAAGCCAGGUACCUGCAACA
rnacentral:lncRNA from 1 species